rnacentral:tRNA from 1 species
GGCGCUGUAGCUCAAGUGGUAGAGCGCUCGCCUUGCAUGCCUGAGGCCCUGGGUUCGAUUCCCCAGCACCA